rnacentral:rRNA from 1 species
AUGAACGCUGGCGGCGUGCUUCACACAUGCAAGUCGAACGGUGAAGGCGGAGCUUGCUCUGCUGGAUCAGUGGCGAACGGGUGAGUAACACGUGAGCAAUCUGCCCCUGACUCUGGGAUAAGCGCUGGAAACGGCGUCUAAUACUGGAUACGAGCUGCGAAGGCAUCUUCAGCAGCUGGAAAGAAUUUCGGUCAGGGAUGAGCUCGCGGCCUAUCAGCUUGUUGGUGAGGUAAUGGCUCACCAAGGCGUCGACGGGUAGCCGGCCUGAGAGGGUGACCGGCCACACUGGGACUGAGACACGGCCCAGACUCCUACGGGAGGCAGCAGUGGGGAAUAUUGCACAAUGGGCGAAAGCCUGAUGCAGCAACGCCGCGUGAGGGACGACGGCCUUCGGGUUGUAAACCUCUUUUAGCAGGGAAGAAGCGAAAGUGACGGUACCUGCAGAAAAAGCGCCGGCUAACUACGU